GUCCACGCUGUAAACUAUGGACGCUAGCCGUUGGGUAGCUUGCUAUUCAGUGGCGCAGCUAACGCAUUAAGCGUCCCGCCUGGGGAGUACGGCCGCAAGGUUGAAACUCAAAGGAAUUGACGGGGGCCCGCACAAGCGGUGGAGCAUGUGGUUUAAUUCGACGCAACGCGCAGAACCUUACCAGGGUUUGGACAUCCUGUGCUCACUGGUGAAAGCCAGCUUUCCCGCAAGGGACACAGAGACAGGUGCUGCAUGGCUGUCGU
rnacentral:rRNA from 1 species